AGUGAACGCUGGCGGUAGGCCUAACACAUGCAAGUCGAACGGCAGCACAGGAGAGCUUGCUCUCUGGGUGGCGAGUGGCGGACGGGUGAGGAAUACAUCGGAAUCUACUCUGUCGUGGGGGAUAACGUAGGGAAACUUACGCUAAUACCGCAUACGACCUACGGGUGAAAGCAGGGGAUCUUCUGACCUUGCGCGACUGAAUGAGCCGAUGUCGGAUUAGCUAGUUGGCGGGGUAAAGGCCCACCAAGGCGACGAUCCGUAGCUGGUCUGAGAGGAUGAUCAGCCACACUGGAACUGAGACACGGUCCAGACUCCUACGGGAGGCAGCAGUGGGGAAUAUUGGACAAUGGGCGCGAGCCUGAUCCAGCCAUACCGCGUGGGUGAAGAAGGCCUUCGGGUUGUAAAGCCCUUUUGUUGGGAAAGAAAUCCAGCUGGCUAAUACCCGGUUGGGAUGACGGUACCCAAGGAAUAAGCACCGGCUAACUUCGUGCCAGCCGCCGCGGUAA
rnacentral:rRNA from 1 species